rnacentral:rRNA from 1 species
GGACCCGCACAAGUAGUGGAGCAUGUGGUUUAAUUCGAAGAUACGCGCAGAACCUUACCAACACUUGACAUGUUCGUCGCGACUCUAAGAGAUUAGAGUUUUCGGUUCGGCCGGACGAAACACAGGUGCUGCAUGGCUGUCGUCAGCUCGUGUCGUGAGAUGUUGGGUUAAGUCCCGCAACGAGCGCAACCCUCACUUUUAGUUGCCAUCAUUAAGUUGGGCACUCUGAAAGAACUGCCAGUGAUAAGCUGGAGGAAGGUGGGGAUGACGUCAAGUCCUCAUGGCCCUUACGUGUUGGGCUACACACGUGCUACAAUGAUAUCUACAACAGGAAGCAAAACGGCGACGUUAAGCAAAUCCUUAAAAGAUAUCUCAGUUCGGAUUGCACUCUGCAACUCGAGUGCAUGAAGCUGGAAUUACUAGUAAUCG